rnacentral:rRNA from 1 species
AGAUUGAACGCUGGCGGCAUGCCUAACACAUGCAAGUCGAACGGGAGUAGCAAUACUCUAGUGGCGGACGGGUGAGGAAUACGUAGGAAUUUGCCCUUAAGUGGGGGAUAACCCGGGGAAACCCGGAUUAAUACCGCAUGACCUCGAAAGAGCAAAGUGGGGGAUCGCAAGACCUCACGCUUUUGGAGAAGCCUACGUCGGAGUAGCUAGUUGGUGAGGUAAUGGCUCACCAAGGCGACGAUCCGUAACUGGUCUGAGAGGAUGAUCAGUCACACCGGAACUGAGACACGGUCCGGACUCCGUACGGGAGGCAGCAGUGGGGAAUAUUGGACAAUGGGCGCAAGGCCUGAUCCAGCAAU